CAAGAACAAGAAAUAGGUUUUAGUUUUAAAAUGACUCUGACUCAGUUCUGAUGAGCAUUUUAGACAUGAGUCUACAUCAGCAAAUGGGUUCAGAGGGAGAUCGUCAACCUUCUGCUUCCUCUGUGAGCUUGCCUUCUGUCAAAAAUGCACCCAAACAGAGAAGAUUUUCAAUAGGCUCUCGUUUUUGGAGGAAGAUGGACAGCAAACGAAAAUCAAGGGAGCUCGAUGGUGGGGUGGAAGCAAUUGCAAGUAUUGAGAGGAUACAUUCUGAAAUGUGUGCUGAUAAGAACUCCAUUUUCUCAACAAAUACCUCUUCUGACAAUGGAUUGACUUCCAUCAGCAAACAAACUGGAGACUUUAUGGACUGUCCUUUGUGCCUUUUGCGGCUUUCUCAAGACAGAUUUCCUGAUAUCAUGACAUGUCAUCAUAGAUCUUGUGUGGAUUGUUUACGACAAUACCUAAAGAUAGAAAUCUCUGAAAGCAGAAUUAACAUCAGUUGUCCAGAAUGCCCUGAACGGUUUAACCCCCAUGACAUUCGCUUGAUAUUAAGUGAUGAUGUCUUAAUGGGAAAAUAUGAAGAAUUUAUGCUUCGACAGUGGCUUGUUGCAGAUCCUGACUGUAGGUGGUGUCCGGCUCCAGACUGUGGAUACGCUGUGAUAGCAUUUGGAUGUGCCAGGUGUCCAAAAUUAACUUGUGGGCGAAAAGGCUGUGGAACAAAGUUUUGCUACCACUGUAAACAGAUCUGGCAUCCCAAACAGACCUGUGAGACUGCUCUAUGGGAAAGAGCCCAGCGUUUAUGCUUAAGAACUUUACCCUUUUCACCUAUUAGUUACAAACAGGAAUCUAGAGCAGCAGCUGAUGACAUAAAGCCGUGUCCACGAUGUGCUGCUUAUAUAAUCAAGGUUGAGGAUGGGAGUUGCAAUCAUAUGACAUGUGCAGUCUGUGGUUGUGAGUUUUGUUGGUUGUGCAUGAAAGAAAUCUCCAAUUUACAUUAUCUCAGUCCCUCGGGUUGUAGUUUAUGGGGGAAGAAACCCUGGAGCCGAAAGAAGAAAAUCCUGUGGCAGCUGGGAACCCUUGUUGGUGCUCCCGUCGGGAUUGCUCUCAUAGCCGGCAUUGCCCUUCCUGCCAUGAUCAUUGGCAUUCCUGUGUAUGUGGGCCUCAAGAUUCAUGAUUGCUAUGAAGGCAGAGAUGUUUCAAAACACAAGCGGAAUCUGGUCAUAGCAAGUGGUGUUACCCUGUCUGUAAUCGUCUCUCCAGUGGUAGCUGCAGUGACUAUAGGCAUUGGUGUUCCUACCAUGCUAGCUUAUGUCUAUGGUGUGGUCCCAAUUUCCCUCUGCAGAAACAGGGAUUGUGGAGAGUCUGCAGGAAAUGGGAAAGGAGUAAGGAUUGAGUUUGAUGAUGAGAAUGACAUAAACGUAGGCGGGACUAACACAGCCAUGGAUACAACAUCAGUAGCAGAAGCAAGGCACAACCCUAGCAUAGGAGAGGGAAGUGUCAGCGGCCUGACUGGCAGUUUGAGUGCAAGUGGAAGCCACAUGGAUGGAAUAGGCACUAUUGGCAACAACCUGAGUGAGACAGUCAGUACCAUAAGCUUAGCUGGAGCUAGUAUCACAGGCAGUCUGUCAGGAAGUGCCAUGGUAAACUGUUUCAGCAAUUUGCAAGUUCAAGCAGAGGUACAGAAAGAAAGGUGUAGUCUCAGUAGAGAAUCUGGCACAGUGAGUUUGGGAAGAGUUUGUAAUAACAGCAGCACCAAAGCAAUGGCAGGAUCCAUUCUGAACUCCUACAUCCCUCUGAACAAAGAUGGGAACAGUAUGGAAGUACAAGUGGAUAUUGAAUCAAAGUCAUUCAAGUUCCAACACAGCCGUGGAAGCAGCAGUGUGGAUGACAGUGGUGCUGCCCGAGGCCACAUGGGCAGGUCAUCCAGUGGCUUGCCUGAAGGUAAAUCCAGUGCUACCAAGUAUUCCAAGGGAGCAACAGGAGGAAAAAAGUCAAAGAGUGGUAAACUGAGGAAAAAGGGUAACAUGAAGAUCAAUGAGACCAGAGAGCACAUGGAUGCACAGUUGUUACAGCCUCAAAGCACAGAUUUAAGUGAGUUUGAGGUGCCAUUCCCGAGUGGCAACUUGCCAUCUGUAGCAGUCUCCCCCUGCAGUCACUCUUCUUACUUAGAAAGCAUGAGAAUGUCCUGUAGUCACCAUUCCAGGGGUUGCCACGCCCACUUCCCAGCUGUGAACACCCUUCCUGAGGUAGAAAAGGAUGGGCUGAAACAUUCACCACACCAGGGCAGCAGUGCUCUGCUUUCCAAAACUGCUUCCUGUUCAGAAGUCCCACAGUCCAGCCAUGCAGCAGACAAGCAUGGCACCAACUGACGUUGGGGGAAGCUGAUGGUGGAUGGUGAUGCACUGAGAGAGCCAAAUAAUAACCACUCGCACCAGACAGCAGACUUGAAAGUUGCUGUCUAGACUACAGUG